ensembl:lncRNA
AUUCUUAGUAGGUUUCAUUCAUCAAAGCAUGACAAACGGUGUCCUGGGAGGAAUGCCUGGGAGCAGCUGAGAGCCAGAGGGGUUGGAUGGGGUGCAAAAGCCUCAUCUGAGGGGAAAAUCCAAUGCCUUCAAAGAGCUCUAGAUUGAGGGGAGACAUGGCCCUGCCCUCAGGGAGCUCCCUAUGAUAGAGGGUGCUACUCCCGCACCCAUUCAUUUAGCCCUCAGUGAGAUCCCAGUCUGAGUCAAUAUCCUGCCCUCAAGCAGCCUGUAAUCUGAUGGCAGAAAAAUACCACGUCACCCCUGCUGGAAAAGAUGUGGCGCCUGCCCAGGGCAGAGACUGAUAUGCAAGAUGAAAAAAGGGGCUGCCAGAGGGGUUCUCAGAAAUAUAGGCAGUCACCACCUGUGGGGAGCCUAAAGAGGGGGCUGGAGGGACACUCAUCUCGGCAUGCUUAUGGAGAAACAUGCAAAAGCUACAAAGGGGCAGCAGUGCAGACUGAGAUCCUAGAAGAUGAGGGAAAACGUGAAGGCUCAGGCCAGGUGGGCUGAUCUAAGCCAAGAGCUCAAAUGCCUUUGGGGACUUAAUCUGGCCACACUUGUCUCUGCCAAUGAGGAGGGCAGCCUGCACUGUCAUAGGAUCUUACAUUCAAUAUAAAAACCACAUACACACUGAAGGCCAAACAAAAUCUCACUAAAGAUUAAACUUGGCCCAAGGCCAUGAGUUUGCAACCCCUGGGCAUCAGGAAAGAGUUCCUGAUAGAAGAGAGUUUUGAGCCUGGUUUGGAUGAAGAGGCUGACAGCCAAGUUGCUCCCCUCAAGUCCUGGCCACCAGGCUUGGGUUCUGUGUCUUCAGGGCCUCCUCCCACCCUUCCUGGGAUGAAAGACUUGAGCCACUCAUCACCAGCUCACUUGCAACCAACAGGCCACAGCUGGUCGGCUGCCAAUACUCCCAGUCUGUGAUGGGGAUAUCAUCUUUCUUCACAGAAAUGUAAUUCCCCUGUUAGGAGAAGGAGCCUGUCCGACUCUUUAAAUGAGCUGAUCUGGAAGUUCUGGCUGGGUGGUCUUCCCUAAGAGCCUUACUUCUCUGAGCCUCAUGUGCAAAAUGGGAUACUAUUGCCCAGGCGCCCUAACCACCCCCGCCCCAAACAGUUAACUUUCCAAUAGACCUCAAUGGAGAGAGUCCUGCCCCAUUCCCCACUCUCCCAGUCCCUUCCAGCAGAGAUCUCAAAGACUGUAGCCUUACAGAAGGGGAGGGCCCCCUUCAGGCCUGGGUCAGGUCUCCAAGUCCUGCACCUCCCCACUCCCCAUCCCAGGUGGGGUCUCCUAACUCUCUCCUGGGACCAAGGUGCAGUCCCGGAGGGCGGCAGGAGGCUGCGGGAGGGGCCGAGGCGAGCACCCCUGGAGACAGGGGGCGAGGGACAGGGGACAGGUGACGGCGGUGUUCCAGGACCGGGGAGGGACGGCCUAAUUAUGGCGCGUUGGCCCAAUGCCACUGAGAGCCGCGGAAGAGAGCGGCGGUGGGUAAUUAGAGCACAUUAGCAGUGCCGCUGAAAUACUGUAAUUUUUCCGCGCGCUGCGGGUGUGUUGGAGGAGGUGAAGCGAUGCGGGCUCGGCUCUGAGUCAGACUCGCGGAAGCCCGGGUUGGGACGCAGGGGACGACAAAGGCUGCGGAGAAGGGACUCCUGCCCGGGGAGGGGCCGGCACUUUCCCCGGGCGAGGAGCCACCUGUUCGGGGCUGCUGGAGGAGCUUCCCCACUUCCGAGGACACAGUGGGCGGGGUCUGGGGGGCGGGGCAGCGAGGGGCGUGGCCAGAGCCUCGUCCCCCCUCCAGGGGGCGCUCCUAGGUCCUGCGGCUCUUUCCCCAGCUUCGAGUCCGGUCCCCUGCACCCAGCCAUGUGGCAGGCUCCCUGCGCGCAGGUGGACUGAAGGAGAUACUGAUGCAUCGCGCGAGGCAGAGGUCCCCCGAAUUCGGCCAGAGACUCACCUCCUUCACUACUCCAGGAGCAGGAAGCUCGCUCACGUUUACCUCCAUUUCCAUGUCUGGGUGUGCGUGUGGUGGGGGUGUCCUCUUGCCCUCGGACUGGGGGCAUCUGGGGUUGUCAGCUUUGGCAAAUAACAGUACAGGAUGUCCAGUUAUAUUUGAAUUGCAAAUAAACAAUGAAUACUUUUUUAAAGUAUAAGUCUACCCCAUGUAUUAUAUGGGAUAUACUUAUACUAAAGUCAUUGUUUAUCUGAAAUUCAGAUUUAACUGGACACUUUUUUUUACGUCUUGUAUUCAUUUUUCUAGCAGCCCUAGAAUCACUGAAAUGUCUAGUAUAUGUCUGCAAUAGAUUGGGGGCUUCCUAAAAAUUCAGUGGGGCUGUGUGUCUCUCUACCCUGGGAUGGUAUGUUUUCUGAAGCCAGAUGCUGUGUUUCACCUUUCUGAAUGGAGUUCUGAUGGUAGUGUGUAUAUUUCCAUCACAGUAGAAGCUUCCUGAGGACAGAGGCUGAAUUUCAGAUUGGAGCUUUGAGGUCAACGUUUGUGCCUUUAUCCCACUGCAGGUUCCUGAGGUGGGGUCUUCGUACCUCCUGGAGAGCAAGUCUCUUCUUUUCUCUUCCCAGCACGUGGAGGCCCCUCCCCCUACUGGUGUAGCGUCCUGCCUACAGGGGGCGCUGGGGGCCCAGAGGACUGAACUGCAGCUGGAUGGGUCCUGUUUCUUGGCAUUAAGGGUUGCAGGUUCUUUAGAGCUGAAGGACCUGGGGACUUGGAGGGUGGGUCUUUAUUCAGUGUGGCUCUCGAACUGGUCCUGACCCCCCCUGCCUCAGCAGAAGCUGUGCCCAGCGUGUGGAAGAAUAUCUGAGUCUGGUUACCCACAGUUUUCUGCCAGGAAGGGGCAGGGUGGCACUCAGUGCAGAAUGGCCCUGCACCCCUCCUCUCUCCCCAAAACCACUGCUGCCAAGCCUCUGUCGUCCAUCAGCCUCACAAACCCCACCACCCAGCCUUUGCCUGUGCUGUCCUCUGUAACAGCACCCUCUGUUCCUGUCCUUGGGGACGGCUGAUGGCUCAUACACCUCCUGGAUGCUCUGGCCUUCAGCACGGUAGGUAUGGCCACGUAGGAUGCUUGUGCCUGGCGGUCUUGUGGUGAAAAGAGACCUCUAUCUCCGUCUUCACCAACCUGGGCCACAGGGGCCAGGGAGGGGACAAAGGUGGGGGUGGGGACAGAAGGGAAGGUGGGGGGACCGUAGGUGGAGGGGAAACAAGAGGACGCCUCUGCCACCCUCUCCUCCCCCUCCACCCCCACUGUCGCCCCUUCCCAAUCCCCUUGUCCCCCCCGGGGCCUCUGAACUCUUUUCCCUUGAAGCUCAGGGAAGCCUGGGAGAAGCCGUUUCCCACGGUCACAGCCUCAACCACCCCCACCCCCUGCUCCUUUGGCCACAGCCACCUCAGCCUUUGCAGAGCACAGCCUGCCCUGCUCUGUCCCUGCAGGGCCCCCUCCUUGAUCCCGGGAGCCUGCUUCUGCGAGUGGCAUCAUCACCCCACUCCUCAGGCUGCCCAGUCAUCAGGUCAGCAAUUAGCUACUUCCUCCCGGCUGCAUGAGGCCACCGAACGUCACAGCCCCUCCCCCUGCCAGCCGGCAGCGGGAGUGCUGGGGGGUGCCCCCCACACUUUGUAGUCUGUGCCAAGUCCUGGCACGACCUUCUCCCCCCCAACCCCCGCCCCUCGCCACAGUCUACCGAGCGCUGGGGUACUGAGCCUUUCAUCUGGGGAGCCCGGAGCUCCCUGCACUCCUAGGGGCGGGAGAAGCCAUGCUGCGGUCUCCCUCCCGCCCCCACCCCACCCCAAAUCGCCCCAUCCCAUUGGGUGAGAACACGGCUGCUGUCUGGGUGGGGUGAUGCCUGCUCAAGGGCACCGCAGCCCUGAGUUCCUGAGUGAGCGGGUCUGGGCCUGAGACUCAGGUGUGCCUGUCCCCAGUCACAGGCGGUUUUCAUCAGGCUCUCACCUGGGCCGGGGGCUCUGCCGAGGAUGGUGGCGGUGACCUGGAGAGAUUUGUAGACACAGAAAUACGGAGACCCACAGGGAAGAAGGUCACACGAUGAUGGAGGCAGAGACUGGAGUGAUGUGGCUCCAAGCCGAGGAACACCAAGGACUGUCUGCACCCACUAGAAGCUGGGAGAGAGGCACUGAACCGACUCUUCCUAGAGUCUCCAGAAGCAACCAGCCCUGCCAGCAUGGUGAUUUGGGACUGUGACCUCUUUUAUUUUUUUUAUUUUGGCUGCACUGAGCAGCUUGGGGGAUCUUUGUUCCCCAACCAAGGGUUGAACCCAGGCCCUUGGCAGUGAGAGUGUCAAGUCCUAACCACUGGGCCACCAGGGAAUUCCCUGGCCUUCUUAAUUAUGAGAGAAUAAAUCUGUGUUGUUUUAAGCCACCAAGUCUGUGGUAGUUCGUUAUGGCUGCCCUAGGAGAUGAACACAAUCAUGCAUUCACACAGUCACGGUGGCUCUAGACGCAGGGACGAGGUGGGUAGAGUCCCUCUUGGAGGCUGCUCUGUCUCUGUUCUUCUUCCCCUGUGAUUGGUCCAGUGGACGCAAAAAAGUUCAUGGUGCCAGGCAAGAGAUCAAUUAUGUUUCAUCCCUCCUUCCCUCCCUGGAGUUCUUAACAAG